GAGCCUGUAGCUUAGCCUGGUGGAGCGUCACGUUGACUUCGUGAAGGUCGCCGGUUCGAAUCCGGCCAGGCUCA
rnacentral:tRNA from 1 species